rnacentral:rRNA from 1 species
GAUGAACGCUGGCGGCGUGCCUAAUACAUGCAAGUCGAGCGAACGGACGAGAAGCUUGCUUCUCUGAUGUUAGCGGCGGACGGGUGAGUAACACGUGGAUAACCUACCUAUAAGACUGGGAUAACUUCGGGAAACCGGAGCUAAUACCGGAUAAUAUUUUGAACCGCAUGGUUCAAAAGUGAAAGACGGUCUUGCUGUCACUUAUAGAUGGAUCCGCGCUGCAUUAGCUAGUUGGUAAGGUAACGGCUUACCAAGGCAACGAUGCAUAGCCGACCUGAGAGGGUGAUCGGCCACACUGGAACUGGGACACGGUCCAGACUCCUACGGGAGGCAGCAGUAGGGAAGCUUCCGCAAUGGGCGAAAGCCUGACGGAGCAACGCCGCGUGAGUGAUGAAGGUCUUCGGAUCGUAAAACUCUGUUAUUAGGGAAGAACAUAUGUGUAAGUAACUGUGCACAUCUUGACGGUACCUAAUCAGAAAGCCACGGCUAACUACGUG